CCUUUUUUGAUAGAGCCCCUUGGAAUGGAAACCUGCUAAGUGGUAACUUCCAAAUUCAGAGAAACCCUGGAAUUAAAAAUGGGCAAUCCUGAGCCAAAUCUUUAUGUUAAGAAAACAAAGGAUAGGUGCAGAGACUCAAUGGAAGCUGUUCUAACAAAUGGAAUUGACGUUGACUACGUUGCGUUGGUAGCUGGAAUCCCUCUAUCGAAAUUACAGAAAGGAUGACCCUAUAUGCGUAUAUAUACAUACUGACAUAUCAAGCGAUUAAUCUCAACUCGAAUCUGGAAUCCAUAUUAUUAACUAUAACUAUAUAUUUAUAACUAUAUAUUAUAGUUAUUAUUAACUAUUUUGUUUCUAUUUUAAAAAAGAUAUAUUUUUUCUAUAAUUUAUAGAUUAAUUAAGAGUUAUUAUAAAUAUAUUCCAGUCGAAGUGAAGGAAGAAUCGAAUAUUCAGUAUUCAGUGAUCAAAUCAUUCAUUCCGGAGUCGGAUAGAUCUUUUGAGAAAAUGAUUAAUCGGACGAGAAUAAAGAGAGAGUCCUGUGCUACGUGUCAAUACCGACAGCAAUGAAAUUUAUAGUAUUACGAGAAUCCGUCGACUUUAGAAAUCGUGA
rnacentral:ncRNA from 1 species